GCAAGUCGAACGGACUGUUUUAUUGAAGGCAACGGAUAUUUAACAGUUAGUGGCGAACGGGUGAGUAAUGCGUAGGUAAUCUACCUUUGGGAUGGGGACAACUCAGGGAAACUUGAGCUAAUACCCGAUAAGACCACGCCUCGGGAGGGGUGAGGCCAAAGGCGGGGUGGUAACACCUCGUGCCUGGAGAUGAGCCUACGUCCUAUCAGUUUGUUGGAGGGGUAAUGGCCCACCAAGACGAAGACGGGUAGCCGGCCUGAGAGGGUGAAC
rnacentral:rRNA from 1 species